rnacentral:rRNA from 1 species
UACGGGGGGGGCAAGCGUUGUUCGGAAUUACUGGGCGUAAAGGGCUCGUAGGCGGCCAACUAAGUCGGAUGUGAAAUCCCCAGGCUCAACCUGGGAACUGCAUCCGAUACUGGAUGGCUUGAAUUCGGGAGAGGGAUGCAGAAUUCCAGGUGUAGCGGUGAAAUGCGUAGAUAUGCGGAGGAACACCGAUGGCGAAGGCAAUCCCCUGGACCUGUACUGACGCUCAUGCACGAAAGCGUGGGGAGCAAACAGG